rnacentral:rRNA from 1 species
UACGAAGGGGGCUAGCGUUGCUCGGAAUCACUGGGCGUAAAGCGCACGUAGGCGGAUCUUUAAGUCAGGGGUGAAAUCCCGGAGCUCAACUCCAGAACUGCCUUUGAUACUGGCGAUCUUGAGUCCGGGAGAGGUGAGUGGAACUGCGAGUGUAGAGGUGAAAUUCGUAGAUAUUCGCAAGAACACCAGUGGCGAAGGCGGCUCACUGGCCCGGUACUGACGCUGAGGUGCGAAAGCGUGGGGAGCAAACAGG